rnacentral:rRNA from 1 species
AUGAACGCUGGCGGCGUGCUUAACACAUGCAAGUCGAACGAAGCACCUCUAAUUGAAGAUUGACGAAGCUUGCUUCUGAUUGAUUCGCCUUGAGGUGACUGAGUGGCGGACGGGUGAGUAACGCGUGGGUAACCUACCCUAUACAGGGGGAUAACAGUUGGAAACAGCUGCUAAUACCGCAUAAGCGCACAGCUUCGCAUGAAGCAGUGUGAAAAACUCCGGUGGUAUAGGAUGGACCCGCGUCUGAUUAGCUAGUUGGUGAGGUAACGGCUCACCAAGGCGACGAUCAGUAGCCGACCUGAGAGGGUGACCGGCCACAUUGGGACUGAGACACGGCCCAAACUCCUACGGGAGGCAGCAGUGGGGAAUAUUGCACAAUGGGCGAAAGCCUGAUGCAGCGACGCCGCGUGAACGAAGAAGUAUUUCGGUAUGUAAAGUUCUAUCAGCAGGGAAGAAAAAUGACGGUACCUGACUAAGAAGCUCCGGCUAAAUACGUGCCAGCCGCCGC